rnacentral:rRNA from 1 species
AGAAUUCCGCGAAUCAUCGAGUCUUUGAACGCAACUUGCGCCCGAGGCAUUUGACCGAGGGCAUUUCUGCCAGAGCGUCACC